AUGAUUGAGGUGGAGGAACAUGUACCUGAGGAACUCUUGACUCUUCGGGAAGAAGUGCAGAGAUUACGAGUGGCUAAUGAACAACUUCAGAGAGGAAGAGGUGCCAGCGCAGGUACCUCUGGUAAUGGCACUACUGCUGGUGGGAUAGCCCCCAGUGGCGAUUUGGGCUCACAAAAUUUUUCUGGUCCACAACCUAGACCAGAACGUUUUGUUUAUAUUCAAAGAGAGAGAAAGUGCCCCCACUUCUCCGGCUCGAAAUCUAAAUCUGAUAUAUUGAUUUAUGAUUGGAUAGAAAAUAUUGAGUCAUGCAUGAGGGAUAGGAAUAUGAGCGCUAGGGAGAAGGCCCUCUUCCUUUAUGAUCAUUUGGAAGGAGAAGCAAAAGCUGAAAUCAGAUUCCGCUCUUUAGCUGAGCGGGAAAAUCCGGAUACAAUCUUAAACAUUUUAAAAGAAGUUUAUGGUUCCUCCUCCUCCUUUGUCAGCCUGCAAAGAAAAUUCUUUGACAGAAAACAGAAAAAUGGGGAGUCUUUAAAAGAAUUUUCUCACUGUUUGUGGGCUCUAAUUGAAGAAAUCAAACGUGCUUACCCUAAUAGGUUGACAGACCCAGAUAUGUUAGUCAGAGAUCAGUUCAUGGAGCAUGUGCGUGAUGUUUCCUUAAGACGAGAGCUAAAGAGCAUUGUGCGUCAAAAUCCGGCUGUUGCUUUUAUAGCACUACGGCAUGAAGCAAUUAGAUGGAUGGAAGGUGAGCGCCCACUUGAACAAACUCGAGCUGAGCUUCACCACUGUGGGGUGGAUCUAAAUGUUGAAGGGGCUUGUCAUGCAGUGGGGGUGGGAAAAGGGUUUGAAGUUUCUGUCUUGCAGGAACAGCUUAACCAACAGCAGUCACAGAUUAAUAAAAUACUACUGAGUCUGUCUAAGAUAGAAUCUGUGUUAAACCAGCCUACUUCUCGUCCUCAUAACCCCAAUUACCAGUUUACCCCAGAAGGCCAACCCAUCUGUCUCCGAUGUCGUAAGCCUGGGCAUGUCCUCCGUCAGUGUCGACAGGGACCGAGGCAGCGAACAGCCAGUUUACCCAAUGUCCAGCCCGAGGAAAAUCCUGCAGUUACAGGACAGUCAGGGUAAUUUCUAGAAGUGUGUGUCUACUCUUCAUGGAGGACACAGGCUUCUGCAUGGAGUUUUAAAAUGUGUUGUGAUCACCUCAUUGUGACCUGAGCUGCUGGGCUGCAUCGGUAAAUGCCUUAAUAUGCCAUUGAGUGUUUUAUAUCUGCAUUGGAACAUGUUUUAAAAUACUUUUUCUGUCUGUAGCAACGGAAUGUUCACCUUUGUCUUCAUAUGUCAAUGAGCUGUGGGACAGUUGAGCAUACUGAAAAGUAGGCCUAUAUUUUUUAGCCAUGUUUGAGUUGACUAUGAUAUGCUGUUUAAUGAGGCUGGCAACUAACAUGAUUGUUUAUUUCCCAAAAGGGACCAGGCCAGCCACUGUUUUCUUGUGAUUAAUGUGCAUUUUUUUAUUGUUUUGUUGGUUUGUUUGUGUGAUGUGAUUUUGCUUCUGGGCCUACCACCCAUGUGCCCUACUUGUAGUAGCAUUGUUCCUUAAACUGGUGUUAUCCGUGCUGGUGGGUCUCCUCCCUAACUAUGUCUUCUGCUUAGGCUAUCCCUGUACAAGGCCGGAUCCACACUGAUGCUUUGCCCCUUCUUGCCAAGGGACCACAUUGUUAGAGACAUUGGUUUGGGGUGUCUUUAUAACCAUAACACGGUGUGAGAUUUUUUUGUCGUGGUAUCUGAAGAUCUUGAAUGAGUGGUGCUUGCUGUGUUGCAUGCUUCUUCUGGUGCUGGGUUGCUGUCUCCUGUUUCUUUUUUUGUCUCACCAGGGUCCACCUGAGCAGGGGUUUCGCAUUGGCUGAUCCGACCUUCCUAGACUGAGGAGAAUCCACCAAUUGUAUAGCAGUAUUUAAGAGCCAUUUUAAUAACUUUUCCACACUUUUUGUACUAAAUUGUAAUAAAUUUGAAAUACAUUUAUAUACCUGCCUCUUGUAAACUGUCCCUUUGCGGGGAAAAUAUAGAGUUAGCUACACUACAUUAAGGGAAGACUUGUGGGUCCUCCUGCCCAUCAUCAGGGGGUGGCGUAGUCAAACCAUAAAGAUUUACUCCUUGACGGGUACCACAAGCAUGUUUUCAUUUAGAUGCUGCAUUGUGUCAUUUUGUUAAAACUCCUCAUCCUGUAGAGUGCUGCUUACAAAUAAAAUUGGACAUGUAGGUUCACAUAACUCAGAGAGAGUAAAUACUGUUCAUUUACAGAUAUUAGAGAUGUUGCAAUAAAGCAGGUUGAAAAUCAUAAAAUUUACUCUUAUAGGCAAAAUAAGGAUAAUAUCUGUUUUGUUUGUUCAAUAUGUUGUGUGUUCAUGUACAGUUGUUGCCAUCUGAAGUCUUCACAAGUGAGUUUGGAUUCAGUGUGUAGCUGCUGUAAUCUCUAGAAACCUUGGGAUUGUUACGGAUCACUCAGAGACAGAGGAGUAACAGAUGAGAAUGAUGUGUUAUUUAAGACACAAGCAGAGGAGCGGGAAGUGAGGAGAGAAUGAGGGGUUUGGAUCCGUGCUGGGUUGGAGGUGGAGGCACACACACGCGCACCGUGGGUUUCUUGAAGGAGUCUUCGGGAACAAUCCUUAGAGAGGAGAAGGAGGAGUAGAACUUGGAGAAUAUCCUUGGAGAGAAGGUAAAGAGGAGUUAGUCCUUAUAGUAAGCGCAGAUGAGUAAUCUUGUCGCGAGCAUGACCGGACAAUGACUGUGUGCGUGUGUGUGGCUUUUAUGGUUCUGUGGUGGAUGGCAGGUGAUGAGGGUCAGGUGGUGAUGGUUUAGAACUCAGGUGAGGGUGUGCGCUGUGAUUGUGUGGAGGUGGAACCUGGCGUGUUUGUAACAGGGAUGGCCAUCCUGAGAUAGAGACAGGAAAUAAAAAGAAUAAAGUUUAGCAUAACUGUUGCUGUUAAUAUUAUUUCAGACAAAAGAUUAUUUAUUUCAUCACAUAUAACUGGAGUGCAUGGUUAUUAGAUGUAUUGUGUGAAUACUAAACUAUGUAUUUUAAUCUAAUUUAAACAAAACGUCCG
ensembl:lncRNA